AUUGAACGCUGGCGGCAGGCUUAACACAUGCAAGUCGAGCGGAGAUGAGGUGCUUGCACCUUAUCUUAGCGGCGGACGGGUGAGUAAUGCUUAGGAAUCUGCCUAUUAGUGGGGGACAACAUUCCGAAAGGAAUGCUAAUACCGCAUACGUCCUACGGGAGAAAGCAGGGGAUCUUCGGACCUUGCGCUAAUAGAUGAGCCUAAGUCGGAUUAGCUAGUUGGUGGGGUAAAGGCCUACCAAGGCGACGAUCUGUAGGGGGUCGAAGAGGAUGAGCGGCCACACGGGGACUGAGACACGGCCCAGACUCCUACGGGAGGCAGCAGUGGGUAAUAUUGGACAAUGGGGGGAACCCUGAUCCAGCUAUGCCGCAUGUGAAGAAGGCCUUAUGGUUGUAAAGCACUUUAAGCGAGGAGGAGGCUACUGAGACUAAUACUCUUGGACAGUGGACGUUACUCGCAGAAUAAGCACCGGCUAACUCUGUGCCAGCCGCCGCCGUAACAC
rnacentral:rRNA from 1 species